UUCAGUGCUCUGCAUGUGUUUAUAACUCUGUCAAACAUCAAACAUGAUCAACAACUGUUUUUCACUAGAACUGAACCUACAACCAACAAAAAUGACUUUCAGCACCAUAUUGAUCUGGACGCUGGCAGUAUUAUGUCGAGAAUCUGUUGGUCAGGUGACAGUGACUCAAACUCCCUCAGAGCUGCUCUCUCAAACUGGACAAUCAGUCACUGUGACCUGUAAAACUAGCAGUGAUCCAGACUCCAGGUGUAGUGGACAGUGUCUUGCCUGGUACUUACAGAAACCUGGAGAAGCUCCUAAACUCUUGAUUUAUGGAACAAGCACCCUCCAGUCAGGAACUCCAUCUAGAUUCAGUGGCAGUGGAUCUAACAGUGAUUUCACUCUGACCAUCAGUGGAGUCCAGACUGAAGAUGCUGGACAUUAUUACUGUCAGAGUUUCCACUAUCCAAACAGUCAAUAUGUGUUCACACAGUGAUAAAGAGUCGUACAAAAACCUCCGUCAGUCAGAGUCACAGUGACUGAACUGAUACUGCAGCUGCUCACACACUUUCACACACUUUCACACACACUCAACAGCAGAAACACAAAUAUGAUCUUAAUAUCAGCUUUG